UACGUAGGGUGCGAGCGUUGUCCGGAAUUAUUGGGCGUAAAGGGCUCGUAGGCGGUCUGUUGCGUCGGGAGUGAAAACUCAGGGCUUAACCCUGAGCCUGCUUCCGAUACGGGCAGACUAGAGGUAUGCAGGGGAGAACGGAAUUCCUGGUGUAGCGGUGAAAUGCGCAGAUAUCAGGAGGAACACCGGUGGCGAAGGCGGUUCUCUGGGCAUGACCUGACGCUGAGGAGCGAAAGUGUGGGGAGCGAACGGG
rnacentral:rRNA from 1 species